rnacentral:lncRNA from 1 species
CCGACACCGGGUCCGGGGCGUGACAUCAGUACUGAUCCAUGGGCACAUUGUAACGUCCUAAAGAACAAAGUAUACAGGGUUAAGACCCACUGCACCCACCUGUAAGAGAUGGAACAUUAUUAGACAAAAGAAAUAACAACAAAAAAAAGAAAUUAGGCCCAAAACACAGCCCAGACCCAAAGGCACUCAAACCCUAGCCAAACUUCCAAGCUGCAUCAGCCACCACGCCUCCACCACGGUUACAAGACUCUAGCCACCGCCACGAGUAGCCGUCGGCCACCAUCCACUCCUCCAUUAUCGCCAGCACGCCGACAAGAGCACCUCCCGUCCUCCCCGCAUGGUUCCGAAACACCCAUCAGAUCGGAGAACUUCGAUCCGAAAAAGCCUGUCGAAACCCCGCCUCACACUAACCUGCCAGCCACCGCCUAUCAAGGGAUAGAACACCGGUACCAGCAGGUUGCUCCCUCUAGAAUCUCUUAGCGAUCAGAAAACGCAGGACCACCACAAGGCUUGCAAGCUCGUCAAGGUUCGAUCUACGCCGCCGCAGCACAGGCUGAGAUAUGGCUAGCAAAAAAAAGAUCCCCGCCCGGCUGCACUCACCAACCAGGCAAAAGCCUGACAAGGCGCGGGAGCCGCCGGACG